rnacentral:rRNA from 1 species
GAUGAACGCUGGCGGCGUGCCUAAUACAUGCAAGUCGAGCGAACAGACGAGGAGCUUGCUCCUCUGACGUUAGCGGCGGACGGGUGAGUAACACGUGGAUAACCUACCUAUAAGACUGGGAUAACUUCGGGAAACCGGAGCUAAUACCGGAUAAUAUAUUGAACCGCAUGGUUCAAUAGUGAAAGACGGUUUUGCUGUCACUUAUAGAUGGAUCCGCGCCGCAUUAGCUAGUUGGUAAGGUAACGGCUUACCAAGGCGACGAUGCGUAGCCGACCUGAGAGGGUGAUCGGCCACACUGGAACUGAGACACGGUCCAGACUCCUACGGGAGGCAGCAGUAGGGAAUCUUCCGCAAUGGGCGAAAGCCUGACGGAGCAACGCCGCGUGAGUGAUGAAGGUCUUCGGAUCGUAAAACUCUGUUAUUAGGGAAGAACAAAUGUGUAAGUAAGUAUGCACGUCUUGACGGUACCUAAUCAGAAAGCCACGGCUAACUACGUG